GGUUGAAGUGAUGAUAAUCUUCCACAUAAAAUUAUAUUUAGUGUUGACUGAAUUACAAACUAUAAUUAUCUGAUCAACU
rnacentral:snoRNA from 1 species